UCUGGUUGAUCCUGCCAGUAGUCAUAUGCUUGUCUCAAAGAUUAAGCCAUGCAUGUCUAAGUAUAAGCAAUUUAUACAGUGAAACUGCGAAUGGCUCAUUAAAUCAGUUAUCGUUUAUUUGAUAGUUCCUUUACUACAUGGAUACCUGUGGUAAUUCUAGAGCUAAUACAUGCUUAAAAUCUCGACCUUUUGGAAGAGAUGUAUUUAUUAGAUAAAAAAUCAAUGUCUUCGGACUUUUUGAUGAUUCAUAAUAACUUUUCGAAUCGCAUGGCCUUGUGCUGGCGAUGGUUCAUUCAAAUUUCUGCCCUAUCAACUUUCGAUGGUAGGAUAGUGGCCUACCAUGGUUUCAACGGGUAACGGGGAAUAAGGGUUCGAUUCCGGAGAGGGAGCCUGAGAAACGGCUACCACAUCCAAGGAAGGCAGCAGGCGCGCAAAUUACCCAAUCCUAAUUCAGGGAGGUAGUGACAAUAAAUAACGAUACAGGGCCCAUUCGGGUCUUGUAAUUGGAAUGAGUACAAUGUAAAUACCUUAACGAGGAACAAUUGGAGGGCAAGUCUGGUGCCAGCAGCCGCGGUAAUUCCAGCUCCAAUAGCGUAUAUUAAAGUUGUUGCAGUUAAAAAGCUCGUAGUUGAACUUUGGGCCUGGUUGGCCGGUCCGAUUUUUUGUCGUGUACUGGAUUUCCAACCGGGCCUUUCCUUCUGGCUAACCUUGGGUCCUUGUGGCCCUUGGCGAACCAGGACUUUUACUUUGAAAAAAUUAGAGUGUUCAAAGCAGGCGUAUUGCUCGAAUAUAUUAGCAUGGAAUAAUAGAAUAGGACGUUUGGUUCUAUUUUGUUGGUUUCUAGGACCAUCGUAAUGAUUAAUAGGGACGGUCGGGGGCAUCAGUAUUCAAUUGUCAGAGGUGAAAUUCUUGGAUUUAUUGAAGACUAACUACUGCGAAAGCAUUUGCCAAGGACGUUUUCAUUAAUCAAGAACGAAAGUUAGGGGAUCGAAGAUGAUCAGAUACCGUCGUAGUCUUAACCAUAAACUAUGCCGACUAGGGAUCGGGUGGUGUUUUUUUAAUGACCCACUCGGCACCUUACGAGAAAUCAAAGUCUUUGGGUUCUGGGGGGGAGUAUGGUCGCAAGGCUGAAACUUAAAGGAAUUGACGGAAGGGCACCACCAGGAGUGGAGCCUGCGGCUUAAAUUUGACUCAACACGGGGAAACUCACCAGGUCCAGACACAAUAAGGAUUGACAGAUUGAGAGCUCUUUCUUGAUUUUGUGGGUGGUGGUGCAUGGCCGUUCUUAGUUGGUGGAGUGAUUUGUCUGCUUAAUUGCGAUAACGAACGAGACCUUAACCUACUAAAUAGUGGUGCUAGCAUUUGCUGGUUAUCCACUUCUUAGAGGGACUAUCGGGUUUCAA
rnacentral:rRNA from 1 species